rnacentral:siRNA from 1 species
ACUGAAUUCGUCGAGUCCUUCUGC